GAGGCACCGGUGGAGGCAGGGACUGAGCAGGAGGUGCCGGCGGGUACGGGGACCGAGCAGGAGGCGUCGGCGAAGACUGUGCCAUUGGCGACUGCGGCGCCGGCUACGGUCCAGAAGAAGUGGAACCUCCCCGGGAUGCCAGAUCUGGACGCCGAGGUCAUCGCACUCUCGCCGGGGACGCUGCCGGCCACGAACCACGCGGCACUCGCUCGCCGGCGCCAUCCUGCUCCCGCCCUCCUCCUCCCAAGCAAAUGUUACUAUCGCCUGACAUCUUGUACCCCGCUGUUACUUCCACACCAGUGUUGCAGUCUCUGAAUAGUGGGUGGCACUGUACGUACAUGUGCUUGUAAUUUGAAUGUACAUGUUAGCUCCGGCAGACAGGCAAGUCACGUAGACUCUCCGGCAAGCAGGCAGGUCAGGUCACGUAGAAUCGAACCUUGAUAUCCACUGGUGCACCGCAUGUCAGAAGAUUAAUUAAAUGG